UACGUAGGGUGCAAGCGUUAAUCGGAAUUACUGGGCGUAAAGCGUGCGCAGACGGUCAUGUAAGUCGGGUGUGAAAGCCCCGGGCUCAACCUGGGAAUUGCAUUCGAGACUGCAUGGCUAGGGUGCGGAAGAGGGAAGCGGAAUUUCCGGUGUAGCGGUGAAAUGCGUAGAUAUCGGAAGGAACACCAGUGGCGAAAGCGGCUUCCUGGUC
rnacentral:rRNA from 1 species